UUGCAGCCAGGCUAACAGAAACCCAGCCCUGCCCACUGGGUGAAACUGCAAGUCGAGAGCGUGGGAAACCAGCAAGUUGAGAGAGGAUCCAGAAGUAACCCCUUCUAAAAUGGGAAAGAUGCCUUCCGAAAGCACUUGGCCCUAAAGAGAAAACACUAGGAGGAUGAGAACUGGGAACAGAGAAGCCACUUGCUCUGCAGCUAUUUGGGCCAAUAUCUUUUCAGAUUUUUGCAUUUCUGAUGAUCCAAUGGCCCCAUCCAGACUGGAGACACCAACUCACUGACUCAGCUGGUCUUGUGGCCCCCACCCAGAAGUGGACUCAGUGCAUGAGGACCAUUUUCCACACUCCUAUGAUUA